rnacentral:rRNA from 1 species
UGGGGAAUAUUGCACAAUGGGCGCAAGCCUGAUGCAGCCAUGCCGCGUGUGUGAAGAAGGCCUUCGGGUUGUAAAGCACUUUCAGCGAGGAGGAAGGGUAGUGUGUUAAUAGCACAUUGCAUUGACGUUACUCGCAGAAGAAGCACCGGCUAACUCCGUGCCAGCAGCCGCGGUAAUACGGAGGGUGCAAACGUUAAUCGGAAUUACUGGGCGUAAAGCGCACGCAGGCGGUUUGUUAAGUCAGAUGUGAAAUCCCCGCGCUUAACGUGGGAACUGCAUUUGAAACUGGCAAGCUAGAGUCUUGUAGAGGGGGGUAGAAUUCCAGGUGUAGCGGUGAAAUGCGUAGAGAUCUGGAGGAAUACCGGUGGCGAAGGCGGCCCCCUGGACAAAGACUGACGCUCAGGUGCGAAAGCGUGGGGAGCAAACA